rnacentral:rRNA from 1 species
GUGCCAGCAGCCGCGGUAAUACGAAGGGGGCUAGCGUUGUUCGGAAUUACUGGGCGUAAAGGGCGCGUAGGCGGCCUUGUUAGUCGAGUGUGAAAGCCCUGGGCUUAACCCGGGAAGCGCGCUUGAUACUGCAGGGCUUGAGUGUGGGAGAGGAUGAUGGAAUUCCCAGUGUAGAGGUGAAAUUCGUAGAUAUUGGGAAGAACACCGGUGGCGAAGGCGAUCAUCUGGACCACAACUGACGCUGAGGCGCGAAAGCGUGGGGAGCAAACAGGAUUAGAUACCCUGGUAGUCC